rnacentral:rRNA from 1 species
AGUGAACGCUGGCGGUAGGCCUAACACAUGCAAGUCGAACGGCAGCACAGUAAGAGCUUGCUCUUACGGGUGGCGAGUGGCGGACGGGUGAGGAAUACAUCGGAAUCUACUUUUUCGUGGGGGAUAACGUAGGGAAACUUACGCUAAUACCGCAUACGACCUACGGGUGAAAGCAGGGGAUCUUCGGACCUUGCGCGAUUGAAUGAGCCGAUGUCGGAUUAGCUAGUUGGCGGGGUAAAGGCCCACCAAGGCGACGAGCCGUAGCUGGUCUGAGCGGAUGAUCAGCCACAAUGGAACUGAGACACGGUCCAGAAUCCUACGGGAGGCAGCAGUGGGGAAUAUUGGACAAUGGGCGCAAGCCUGAUCCAGCCAUACCGCGUGGGUGAAGAAGGCCUUCGGGUUGUAAAGCCCUUAUGUUGGGAAAGAAAAGCAGCAGGUUAAUACCCCGCUGUUCUGACGGUACCCAAAGAAUAAGCACCGGCAAACUUCGU